UUCAAGAAUGAAGCGAGUGGCGAACUGGUGAGUAACACGUGGGAAAUCUGCCCAGAAGCAGGGGAUAACACUUGGAAACAGGUGCUAAUACCGUAUAACAACAAAAUCCGCAUGGAUUUUGUUUGAAAGGUGGCUUCGGCUAUCACUUCUGGAUGAUCCCGCGGCGUAUUAGUUAGUUGGUGAGGUAAAGGCCCACCAAGACGAUGAUACGUAGCCGACCUGAGAGGGUAAUCGGCCACAUUGGGACUGAGACACGGCCCAAACUCCUACGGGAGGCAGCAGUAGGGAAUCUUCCACAAUGGACGAAAGUCUGAUGGAGCAAUGCCGCGUGAGUGAAGAAGGGUUUCGGCUCGUAAAACUCUGUUGUUAAAGAAGAACACCUUUGAGAGUAACUGUUCAAGGGUUGACGGUAUUUAACCAGAAAGCCACGGCUAACUACGUGCCAGCAGCCGCGGUAAUACGUAGGUGGCAAGCGUUGUCCGGAUUUAUUGGGCGUAAAGCGAGCGCAGGCGGUUUUUUAAGUCUGAUGUGAAAGCCUUCGGCUUAACCGGAGAAGUGCAUCGGAAACUGGGAGACUUGAGUGCAGAAGAGGACAGUGGAACUCCAUGUGUAGCGGUGGAAUGCGUAGAUAUAUGGAAGAACACCAGUGGCGGAAGCGGCUGUCUAGUCUGUAACUGACGCUGAGGCUCGAAAGCAUGGGUAGCGAACAGGAUUAGAUACCCUGCUAGUCCCAUGCCGUAAACGAUGA
rnacentral:rRNA from 2 species